rnacentral:lncRNA from 1 species
CAGAGAGUGGAAAACCUAAGAUGGCGGCGUUUGCAUUCAAUUGUUGCAUGCUUACCCGGGGUGGCCAGGCGGCCAAAGCAUGAAUCUACUAACAAAAGUCUAGAAACUCGUCAGUUUUUGUGUUGUGU